rfam:Hanseniaspora uvarum DSM 2768 Contig_1, whole genome shotgun sequence.
UCCUUGUUAGCUCAGUCGGUAGAGCGUUCGACUUUUAUACAGCAGCUGUUUUCAGCUGUAAAAGAUCAAAAGGAAUCGAAAUGUCAGGGGUUCGAGCCCCCUAUGAGGAG